UAAGAGGUCCCGCCUGCCCUGUGACUAUAAGUUUAACGGCCGCGGUAUUUUGACCGUGCGAAGGUAGCGCAAUCACUUGUCUUUUAAAUGGAGACCUGUAUGAAUGGCACGACGAGGGCUUAACUGUCUCCUUUUUCCAGUCAAUGAAACUGAUCUCCCCGUGCAGAAGCGGGGAUAAUACCAUAAGACGAGAAGACCCUAUGGAGCUUCAGACACUAAAGCAGAUCAUGUUAAACACCCCGAUCUUACCGGGCCAAACCAAAUGACCCCUGCCCUAAUGUCUUUGGUUGGGGCGACCGCGGGGAAAUAAAAAACCCCCAUGUGGACUGAGAGCACCCCUCUUACAUCCCCGAGUUACCACUCUAAUAAACAGAACUUCUGACCUACCUGAUCCGGCAACGCCGAUCAACGGACCGAGUUACCCUAGGGAUAACAGCGCAAUCCUCUUUUAGAGCCCAUAUCGACAAGAGGGUUUACGACCUCGAUGUUGGAUCAGGACAUCCUAAUGGUGCAACCGCUAUUAAGGGUUCGUU
rnacentral:rRNA from 1 species